GCCAAACUCUUCAGAAGCUACAAAAAGAGGAAUCUGUGCCCUCCUGGUCAGUAGAUUUUUCUAAUGUAGAAAACAUGUAGAAGAGUGCAUGGAGAGUAAAUCAUCCAAGGACAGUCCUUCAAGAUGCUGCUGGAGUGCCAGCUUGACUUUCUUCCCAGCAGAUGACGUAUGACAGGGACAAGGAUCCAUUUUGGAGAAGAAGGGUGGUAAGAUUUGGUAGUUCAGGAUAUGUAGGACUUCACUGGUAUAACAAGCAGUGAAGCUCAUGGGAAAUGCAUCAGUUCUCAUUCCGAGUCUGGCUAACAAAGAUACGAACACUUAAUUAAGAUUUCUUUCAUCUCAUGAAAAUAGCUCUGAAGAUCUGAGCCUGACAUGAGAGCUGCCAGCAAGACUAGCAAAAGCAAAGUUUCCAGCUGUGGAAGAUCUUCAUUCAAGAACUUGCCCUCACAAACCACAUUUCUUUAAAUUGUGAGUGGGAUCUAGUGCUUCUAAGUGGAUGACCUAACUCAAGCAAGAAACUCUUCUGACCCACUCUAGUCCUCUGAAUUCCUCUCUUGCACAUGGAGAGACCUACAGGAGGGAGAGCCUCUUUGCUCUGCAGGAACGAUGGAAUCAGUUCAGUUCUGAAUGCUGCAGAAACAGUUGGCUCAGGCUUCCCAAUAUGCCAUCUGUGAGAAAACAGACAUUUUAGGUGACUGAUUCAAAAAAAUGCACAUUCUUUUUAUAUUUAUUUACAUACUUACAUUUAUAUUGAUUAAAAUCGGUCUGGUUUAGUUA